rnacentral:rRNA from 1 species
UACGUAGGGUGCAAGCGUUGUCCGGAAUUAUUGGGCGUAAAGAGCUCGUAGGCGGUUUGUCGCGUCUGCUGUGAAAACGCGAGGCUCAACCUCGCGCCUGCAGUGGGUACGGGCAAACUAGAGUGCGGUAGGGGAGAUUGGAAUUCCUGGUGUAGCGGUGGAAUGCGCAGAUAUCAGGAGGAACACCGAUGGCGAAGGCAGAAUCUCUGGGCCGUAACUGACGCUGAGGAGCGAAAGCGUGGGGAGCGAACAGG